GUGUCAGCCGCCGCGGUAAUACAGAGGGUGCAAACGUUGCUCGGAAUCACUGGGCAUAAAGCGCAUGUAGGCGGUCUCCUAAGUCUGGUGUGAAAUCCCUCGGCUCAACCGGGGAACUGCAUUGGAUACUGGGAGGCUUGAGAGUUGUAGGGGUGGACGGAACUCCAGGUGGAGCGGUGAAAUGCGUAGAUAUCUGGAGGAACACCGGAGGCGAAAGCGGUCCACUGGGCAACUUCUGACGCUGAGAUGCGAAAGCUAGGGUAGCAAACGGGAUUAGAUACCCCUGUAGUCC
rnacentral:rRNA from 1 species